AAAGCAAGCACCCUGCAGAUCUGGACUGGCACUUUGGAGGUGGCGUAUGAGAACAUUGAGGAAUGGGAAGAAUCAGGGACAAAGUGAGCCAGGGCCUCUUCCAAGAGAGCCACCAGGCUGGACAACUACGGGGAGAAACACUACCACCGCACAACCAGCAGAUGAACUCUUCUCUGAGAUCUAAUUCUAGAAGCUCAAGGUAAGGAGACAGGCUAGAACUUUCAUGCGCUCUUAGAAACAGUCAGGCUUUUGUAAGUCUGUGAAUGCAAAAAUGUCGUGUCAAUGAAAGGCAUGGCAACAAUUCCGGUUUACUUUCAACAUUUUGUAUGUCUUUGUCUUCUGCCCAGUUUCGGGUCACAUUUUCUUCAGCUCUACCAAUAUUACUAUCUCUUCCCUCUCCUCCUGCUUGCCUUUUCACACAAUGUUUUUAAUCUGUGCCUCAGUGGCAGUGAUUUGGAGCACAUGGGGAAGUUUCCUGUCUGGAUAGGCUUCAUCUGUCUCCAUUGGUACCUUGGCUAGUCUAGUCUGGUUCUUCAUGUCUCCCCUCUCCUCCCCUCCCCUUCCCUGCCUUCCCCUCCCCUUUUCUCUUCUCUUCUCUUCUUUUCUCUAGUGAUGUUCCCAGAUAUCCCGGUUUGCGUAAGGACUCUGAAGUACAAUGAAAUUGCUCAAUGUGUUGCACCAGAAGCAUCUCUGUUGUUAGAUGAUGUAUGAGAACAUUGAAGAAUGCAAAG
rnacentral:lncRNA from 1 species